rnacentral:rRNA from 1 species
AGGAAUCUACCCUAAAGAUGGGCAUAGCCCCGCGAAAGCGGGGGUAAUACCCAAUGUGGCCCCGAUGCAAAUCGGGGUCAAAGACGCAAGUCGCUUUAGGAUGAGCCUGCGGCCUAUCAGGUAGUUGGUGGGGUAAUGGCCUACCAAGCCGAUGACGGGUAGCUGAUCUGAUGAGGAUGAUCAGCCAGAGGGGGACUGCGACACGGCCCCCACACCUACGGGUGGCAGCAGCCGGGAAUUUUGCGCAAUGGACGAAAGUCUGACGCAGCGACGCCGCGUGCGGGAUGAAGGCCUUCGGGUUGUAAACCGACAUCAAAAAGCAUUGGCUAACUACGUGCCAG